rnacentral:lncRNA from 1 species
AACAUGCUAAUCACAAAGAACUUUACUGUAGAAAAUUACUGUAUUGGGAAACUGUUGAUAUCAGAUGUGAGAUAAUACUAUGGUACUAUGAUAUACAUACACCAUAAUGAAUGAUUAACUUACAUUCUACAUUACUUUUGUCAUGUGACAGGUACUGUUGGAAUUGACUCAGCUGGUGUCACAUGACUACACCUCUCUGAAUGACAUGCUCAGCAAACUGUCUGCUGUCAUCCUGCCAGUUACAAAAGCACAAUUCUGUACUAUUUUCAUCUCAGAUGACAGUUCCACGGGGCCUUUCUCAAAGAUGGUCCAUAUAGAGCAUAAAGAAACCAAUUGCUCUUUCCAGUGUUCUACAAGGAGGCUGUCAUCCUUUCAGCAGAUCGCCUCUGUUUACUGGACUUUGGCUUCAGUGAUUUUGAUAUGUCCCAGAAUGCCAUGA